rnacentral:lncRNA from 1 species
UUAGACAAAGGCUAUUUUUAACUGGAGUUCUAUUUGCGGGGGCUGCCAACGUCACUUUAUGUUCACAUGCAUCUCGGGCAUCAUAUGCUUGUUAUUUUUAUUUACUGUGCAUGUGCCAGCUCUGCUUUUUUUAAGGGAAGAAAGAAUUGAGAGUGCUUUAGCAGGCCAGCCCUUGAAAGCUCUUUUGUAUAACAGCAGAUACACAGAUUAGGAAAGAAAAGACAACUCAGCGGUAUAUUUGGCAAACCUGUUUCUAAUGGCUGGCUUCUUUUUUCCAUGAGUCUAGUCACAAAGCUGUUUUCUUAUUACCACUGCGUUUGUGUAAGGGGAAGCUGUUUCUGAGGUUCUGCAGUGACAUACAUGACAAUUUCCUCUGUGAUCCCUGGGGAGUGGUCUGUUGUGACGAUGGUGUUCCAUGGCAAGCGCUCAGAAUGUGUCCAUACGCUCAGCACCGUUGCUCUUUAAAGGAACACAAGCCAUUCCUGUGUUUCCAGAGCAGAUGUACAGACCCUUCUCCAUACUCAUGUCACUUCCUCUAUCAUCAACAAGGGGAGUCGGCAUUAGCAAUUGUCCAUUCCUGCUGAUGAAACAGAAGCUACCUAUUCAGACUAAACAUAAGACUUGCCAUAUUGGAUCAGAUCCCUGAUCCAUUAGUUCAAUAUCCUGUCUCUGACAGUGGCCAGGACCAGAUGCUUCAGGGGAAGAGGCAAGAAGCAGAAAUACAAGGCAUGCCACUUUCACAUUCUCUUAUCAGUCUGAAACUGCUCCCCUUUCGCUUUCAUUGGGUGUCCCACUGUUCUUGUACUGUGGUAAAGCGGAAGUAGAGGCCCCAAAUUCACCUUCACUUUACCAGUCAUUAUUUGCCAUCACUUUGUCAUGUCUCCUCUGACUUGUUUACGUUGAGCAGUUCUAAUCUUUUCAGUCUCUCCUCCUAUGGAAAUCUCUCCAUGCCUUUAGUAACUCUGCUCCCCUGUCACUGGGCCCCUUCUCUUUUGAGGUAGGUUUUGGCUCCAUCUCUUUUUGAGAUAGGUUUACCAGAACUAGUCCAACGUUCAAGGUUAGGGCAUAUGAUUUAAGCAGGGUAGGGCUUCCUACCUGCAGUAAAGUUUAAAACAGCAGAGGGUAUUCGGCAGCCUUUAAGCAUCUAAAACACUUGCAGAUAUUUUAAGACACAAGUUACUGAAAUUCCAAUGUGCUUU